UACGUAGGGUGCGAGCGUUAAUCGGAAUUACUGGGCGUAAAGCGUGCGCAGGCGGUUCGUCGUGUCUGAUGUGAAAGCCCCGGGCUCAACCUGGGAAUGGCAUUGGAAACUGGCGGACUAGAGUGUGGCAGAGGGGGUGGAAUUCCGCGUGUAGCAGUGAAAUGCGUAGAGAUGCGGAGGAACACCGAUGGCGAAGGCAGCCCCCUGGGCUAACACUGACGCUCAGGCACGAAAGCGUGGGGAGCAAACAGG
rnacentral:rRNA from 1 species